GAUUUCUGGUUUGGUGCGCCUGGCCCGCCACGGUUUCGUGUGUGAGUGCUGGGUCGCGCCUGCCAUCCUUCUAGAGAACGUCUCUACUCUUCAUUGAGCCGGAGGCGCCAUCUAGAUCUUUUACUUUGAAAAAAUUAGAGUGUUUAAAGCAGGCAUGUUGCUAUGAAUACAUUAGCAUGGAAUAAUAAUGUAGGACUUCGGUUCUAUUUUGUUGGUUUCUAGGACUGAAGUAAUGAUUGAUAGGGAUAGUUGGGGGUGCUAGUAUUCAGUGGCCAGAGGUGAAAUUCUCGGAUUCACUGAAGACUAACUUAUGCGAAAGCAUU
rnacentral:rRNA from 1 species